rnacentral:rRNA from 1 species
CAGCAGCCGCGGGAAUACGUAGGUGGCGAGCGUUGUCCGGAAUUAUUGGGCGUAAAGGGAGCGCAGGCGGACAUAUAAGUCCAUCUUAAAAGUGCGGGGCUCAACCCCGUGAGGGGAUGGAAACUGUAUGCCUUGAGUGCAGGAGAGGAAAGCGGAAUUCCCAGUGUAGCGGUGAAAUGCGUAGAUAUUGGGAGGAACACCAGUGGCGAAGGCGGCUUUCUGGUCUGUAACUGACGCUGAGGAGCGAAAGCGUGGGGAGCGAACAGGAUUAGAUACCCCAGUAGUCCCUGUCUCUUAUACA